AGCAGCCGCCGCGGUAAUACAGAGGGUGCGAGCGUUAAUCGGAUUUACUGGGCGUAAAGCGUGCGUAGGCGGCUUCUUAAGUCGGAUGUGAAAUCCCUGAGCUUAACUUAGGAAUUGCAUUUGAUACUGGGAAGCUAGAGUAUGGGAGAGGAUGGUAGAAUUCCAGGUGUAGCGGUGAAAUGCGUAGAGAUCUGGAGGAAUACCGAUGGCGAAGGCAGCCAUCUGGCCUAAUACUGACGCUGAGGUACGAAAGCAUGGGGAGCAAACAGGAUUAGAUACCCCCGUAGUCCCUGUCUCUUAUAC
rnacentral:rRNA from 1 species